UACGGAGGGUGCAAGCGUUAAUCGGAAUUACUGGGCGUAAAGCGCACGUAGGUGGUUUGUUAAGCUAGCUGUGAAAUCCCCGGGCUCAACCUGGACACUGCAGUUAGAACUGGCAAGCUAGAGUAGGGUAGAGGGGUGUGGAAUUCCAGGUGUAGCGGUGAAAUGCGUAGAUAUCUGGAGGAACAUCAGUGGCGAAGGCGACACCCUGGACUCAUACUGACACUGAGGUGCGAAAGCGUGGGGAGCAAACAGG
rnacentral:rRNA from 1 species